CGCGAAUAGCUCAUUACAACAGCUAUAAUUUACUUGAUCUUGACACAAUCCUACUUGGAUAACUGUGGUAAUUCUAGAGCUAAUACAUGCAUUAAAGCUCUGACCUCACGGGAAGAGUGCAUUUAUUAGAACAAAACCAAGCGGCUUCGGCUGUUUCUGGUUGACUCAUAGUAACUGAGCUGAUCGCAUGGUCUUGCACCGGCGACGUGUCUUUCAAGUAUCUGCCGUAUCAACUUUCGAUGGUAGUGUAUCUGACUACCAUGGUGAUCACGCGUAACGGAGAAUAAGGGUUCGGCUCCGGAGAGUUCGCCUGAGAAAUCGCGAACACAUCUAAGGAAGGCAGCAGGCGCGAAAAUUACCCACUCUCAGCACGAGGAGGUAGUGACGAAAAAUAACGAGACCGUUCUCUUAUGAGGCCGGUCAUCGGAAUGGGUACAAUUUAAACCCUUUAACGAGUAUCUAUGAGAGGGCAAGUCUGGUGCCAGCAGCCGCGGUAAUUCCAGCU
rnacentral:rRNA from 1 species